rnacentral:rRNA from 1 species
CCUACGGGUGGCAGCAGUCGAGAAUCAUUCACAAUGGGGGAAACCCUGAUGGGGCGACGCCGCGUGGGGGAAUGAAGGUCUGCGGAUUGUAAACCCCUGUCAUGUGGGAGCAAAUUAAAAAGAUAGUACCACAAGAGGAAGAGACGGCUAACUCUGUGCCAGCAGCCGCGGUAAUACAGAGGUCUCAAGCGUUGUUCGGAAGCACUGGGCGUAAAGUGUGCGGAGGCUGUUUCGUAAGUCGUGUGUGAAAGGCGCGGGCUCAACCCGCGGACGGCACAUGAUACUGCGAGACUAGAGUAAAGGAGAGGGAACCGGAAUUCUCGGUGUAGCCGUGAAAUGCGUAGAUAUCGGGAGGAACACUCGUGGCGAAGGCGGGUUCCUGGACAUUAACUGACGCUGAGGCACGAAAGCCCGGGGAGCGAAAAGGAUUAGAUACCCGGGUAGUC